UACGAGGGGGGCAAGCGUUGUUCGGAAUUAUUGGGCGUAAAGGGCGCGUAGGCGGUGCGGUAAGUCUGAUGUGAAAUCCCCGGGCUCAACCUGGGAACUGCAUUUGUGACUGCACGGCUCGAGUGCGGCAGAGGGGGAUGGAAUUCCGCGUGUAGCAGUGAAAUGCGUAGAUAUGCGGAGGAACACCGAUGGCGAAGGCAAUCCCCUGGGCCUGCACUGACGCUCAUGCACGAAAGCGUGGGGAGCAAACAGG
rnacentral:rRNA from 1 species